rnacentral:rRNA from 1 species
UACGUAGGGUGCAAGCGUUGUCCGGAAUUAUUGGGCGUAAAGAGCUCGUAGGCGGUCUGUCGCGUCUGCUGUGAAAAUCCAGGGCUCAACCCUGGACCUGCAGUGGGUACGGGCAGACUAGAGUGCGGUAGGGGAGAUCGGAAUUCCUGGUGUAGCGGUGAAAUGCGCAGAUAUCAGGAGGAACACCAAUGGCGAAGGCAGCUCUCUGGGACGGUACUGACGCUGAGACGCGAAAGCGUGGGGAGCGAACAGG